ACACCUGACAGUUCCGUUUGAUAGGACAUUGAUCUAUAUAAGCGUAUGUCGGAGCAGAAAAUUCAUCUUUCGCUCUUCGCCAUGCGGUAAAGUAACUCGCGAAAAUCGGAGUAGUCGCAACUUAAAAUUGGAGCAAAAGUGCUUAGAAUCGGAGCAAGAUAUCCGGAGCCUUGGGAGUUUAGAUCGGGCCGUUGAAGCAUAGCUUCUUGAACACGUAGAUAAAUCUAUCUACUUUUGAAGUAACUGGCGAAGGGAGAAAAAACGUGGUACCAUAAGUCGGACGUUAGUUUUUAUAUACUUUUUCACGAGAUUUUCUCAGGAGUCAUCGUUAUAAACCUACUCAUAAGUAUUCGUGUAAGUCGCGUGCGAGAAUCCUUGGAGUAUCUUCAUAGACUGUACAAAGAAACAGGUUUCAUCUCUAGCAGAAAUCCCCCUGUACCGUGGGCAUCCUCCUUACUAGUUCGUUCAGUAUUUUCAUUUCUGAUUGUCGUAAUCAAUCAUCUCUGGGAAGAUAUGAGGAACUGAUUGCUUUAUAUUGACGAUAUUCAUCACUGUGCAAUUGAAAUUUUUCACGCUACGAGGACAUUUCGUGACUUACCUUUGGCAUCCGGCCAAGAAUCAAUUUAUGGAAUUUUGAAGAACCGAUAUUAACAUUGAGACAAUCCUUUUAACUGGAAAAUCCUUGGAAAUUAUUUAUUCCACGAUUGUGUCAGGGAUUUGAUUACCAAAUACACGCGUCCGCCCGGCCUACUACUACCAAGUGUACGCCUAUUGCUAGCUCAGCACGCGAGCCGCGGGGAGCGGCGAUGGGCUGGCAAGCGCCCCGUUCGAGUCACGACGUCAGGUUUUUGGGAUCCCAAGGUGCCAACUUUCAGCGCCCAUGGCGCUACUACGCGCCAACAGACGAUGAAAUUUUCUUUAUUUUCUUUAUUUUAUAUUUUUUGUAUUUUUGCUUUGUAUACCAAUCUGAUGAAUCUGAGCUUUAACGUCCGUGGCAAAGGAGGAGAGCAUCAUACAUCAAUAUAUCACGUUAUCGCAUAACAUCACAUUUAUUA